ACCCGUUGAUCCUGCGGGAGAUUGCUGCUAUUAGGAUUCGACUAAGCCAUGCAAGUCAAGGGGGUUUUCGGACCACCGACAGAAUGCUCAGUAACACGUCAAUAAUCUGCCCUUAGAUCUGGGACAGCCUCGGGAAACUGAGGGUAAACCCGGAUAGGGAAAUUCUUCUGGAAUGAUUUUUUCCUGAAAAGCAAUGUCUAAGGAUGAGUUGGCGGCCGAUUAGGCAGUUGGCGGGGUAACGGCCCACCAAACCUACGAUCGGUACGGGCCCUGAGAGGGGUAGCCCGGAGAAGGGAACUGAGAUACUGUCCCUAGCCCUACGGGGUGCAGCAGGCGCGAAACCUUUACAAUGCACGAAAGUGUGAUAAGGGGAUCCUAAGUGCUCAUACAAUGUAUGGGCUUUUGCCAAGGGUAAAUACCUUGGAGAAUAAGUGGUGGGAAAGACUGGUGCCAGCCGCCGCGGUAACACCAGCGCCACUAGUGGGAAUCGCUAUUAUUGGGCCUAAAGCGUUCGUAGCCGGUCUGAUCAAUCCUUUGUGAAAUCGUAGAGCUUAACUCUGCGGCGUGCAGGGGAGACUGUCAGACUAGGGACCGGGAGGAGCAAGAGGUAUUCUUUGGGGAGCGGUAAAAUGCUAUAAUCCAAAGAGGACCACCUGUGGCGAAGGCGUCUUGCUAGAACGGAUCCGACGGUGAGGGACGAAAGCCAGGGGAGCGAUCCGGAUUAGAUACCCGAGUAGUCCUGGCCGUAAACACUGCGAGCUAGGUGUUGCGUAUUCUUCGUGAAUGCGCUGUAUCGUAGCGAAGGCGAUAAGCUCGCCGCCUGGGAAGUAUAGCCGCAAGGCCGAAACUUAAAGGAAUUGGCGGGGGAGCACUACAAGGGGUGCGGCGUGCGGUUCAAUCUAACUCUACACAGAAAACCUCACCAGAAGCGACGGCAGGAUGAUGGUCAGUCUGAAGGGCUUACUAGACGAGCCGAGAGGUAGUGCAUGGCCGCCGUCAGCUCGUGCCGUAAGGUGUCCUCUUAAGUGAGGCAACGAGCGAGACCUGUACUUACAAUUGCUAGCGGGUUCUUUUGAAUGACCGAGCACAUUGUAGGGACUGCCGUGGAAACACGGAGGAAGGUGCAGGCUACGGUAGGUCUGUAUGCUCCGAAUCUUCUGGGCUACACGCGCGCAACAAUGGUAGGGACAAUGGGAUACAACGCCGAAAGGAGAAGUUAAACCUCUAAACCCUAUCCAAGUCCAGAUUGAGGCUUGCAACUCAGCCUCAUGACGAUGGAAUCCCUAGUAAUCGGAAGUCAUCAGCUUCCAGUGAAUAUGUCCCUGCUCCUUGCACACACCGCCCGUCAAACCACCCGAGCAGGGUUUGGGUGAGCCUUGACCUAUUAGUCAAGUCAAACCCAAGCUCAGUGAGGUGGGUUAAGUCGUCACAAGGUA
rnacentral:rRNA from 1 species